rnacentral:rRNA from 1 species
GACGGAGGGGGCUAGCGUUGUUCGGAAUUACUGGGCGUAAAGGGCGCGUAGGCGGAUUAGUAAGUUGGGAGUGAAAUCCCGGGGCUCAACCUCGGAAUGGCUCUCAAAACUACUAGUCUUGAGUGAAGUAGGGGAUGAUGGAAUUUCUAGUGUAGAGGUGAAAUUCUUAGAUAUUAGAAGGAACACCGGUGGCGAAGGCGGUCAUCUGGACUUCAACUGACGCUGAGGCGCGAAAGCGUGGGGAGCAAACAGG